GCACCCUCAUCCUGCACGGGCACACGCGCCGCCGCCCGCACCCUGCACGCCGCCGCCGCCCGCGCCGCUGCACCCCUUGCGCCGCCGCCGCCGACCAGAUCUGCCGCCGGCGGCCCCUGCCCCUGGCCCUGCCCCGCGCGCCCCUGGCCGAAGAUCCCGCUCAGCUCCUCCGCACCACCUCACCUCGCCUCCAGAUCUUGAGUUCGCGACCACCGCGCCAGCGCUCGCUCUUUCCGCUCCCCUGUUGGCACCAGUGACAUGGAUUCCGUCGGGUAGGCGCCAGCACCAAUUUCGGUGACCAAAUUUCGCCCUCCCUGCUCCCGGACUUGGUUCUUGACGACGGCAAGGAUUUUGUGUUGGUUUUGGCAGCAGAGCCUGAUCGAGCCCCCUUUGAGCAGGUUGCCGGAGGUUUCAGCAGUUUUGUCUGCAUAACAAGUGCUUCAUCGGAUUGAUCUGCUCUUUUCCCUUGGCUGAACGCUGCUAAAGUCAUUGCUGUUGGCCCUGGUGAUCGUGACAGGGAUGGUAAGCUGAUCCGUGUAUCUCUAAGUGAAGGCGACACUGUUCUGCUUUCGGAGUAUGGUGGAACAGAAGUGAAGCUUAGAAAGAGUAUGUUAACAUAUGCAUGUCAUUUUGACUUGGCACUAUAUUCUCUCUCCCCUUCCUUUUCUGUUGCUGUUGCUUUGUACACCUAAAUCAGAGAAUUCAAGAUCAGAACACCUGGAUAUUUGUCAUUGA